GUGCUUGUCAUCUGGGGAAUCAGCAGCAUAAUUUCCCCCAGUGAACACUCUAUUCUGUAUCAUUCAAGGUCCAAUCAGGAGAACGUAACCCAUACUAGGUAUUUCCAUCAGAGAGAUUUAAUACAGGAAACUGGUUACACAAGUAUUGGAGGAAUUGAGGAACCAAAAAGUGGGUGCAGAAGUACCAGAGAGACCAGAUGACCUGAAAGCAUAGUCUCCAGUUGGGAAUGAUGAGUCACCUCUAUGAAUCCCUGCUGAGUGGUCAGCCAGCCAUUCCUGAAAAUGGCCCGUUGGUGACCCUGCCCUCUUCACUGGCGAACAUGACCUUUCUUCUUUCAACAAACCCAAAAACGCUUCCUCUCUGCUUUACUUUGGUAAGUCAGCAGAAGUAAUACUGAGUAAACAGUCCAAAGACCCAGACUCAUCCAGACUGCCCACUUCCCCAGCGUAUCUCCCGGACAGGGGUCUCAGCCAAGGCUGUUGGCCAGAGGGAGCAAAAGAGUUACAAGCCCACGCAUCACACUUCAAUCAGCUCUGAGGAUCUUUGCGGCAGCAGGAGACAGACGGGCUGUAGAGACACAGAGCACCCAGCCACGCCUUCCUGGCCUGUACACUGAUUGGACGGUGACGAGCAGCAGCAGCUUUCUCUUCAUAAGCAGUAGAAUCUGUUUCCAGAGCCCAGCCAAGAGUCUGCAGGCAGGAGGGAGGGCAGUGAGACACUCAGUCAAAGGCUCAGGAUCGGGGGUCUUGAUUUGUCCAUCCCUCUGCCUCCAAGAUGAAGCGACUGAGCGCACACGCAUUGCCUCCAAGAAGAACUUCAAAGAUUCCAGCCUAGACAGGCUCUGUUGAUUUUACCAAGGUAAUGAGAUGCCCCAAAUGGUAAAGUGCAGGUCACACAUGUCUCAGGCAGGAGAGGAUUCAGUGGAAGGGGA